AUUCCCUCGGGGCGCAUGCGGCGCGCGAAAUAUCAAUGCAGGCAACUGCUGAUAGGGGAACAUACGAGUGCAUCCUCAUAUUGGGGUGUCUGUCCACCCGCCUAAAAAGCGGGGUUAGCAAGGGCCGGGACAAGACCGGUGCCAGCCGCCGCGUUAAUACCGGCGGCUCGAGUGGUGGCCUAUAUUAUUGAGUCUAAAGGGUCCGUAGCCGGCUUUGCAAGUCUCUCCGGAAAAUUCCAGGGCUUAACCCGUUGGUCGUUCGGGGGGGUACUACAUUCGUUUGGGACCUGGGAGAGAAGGAUACCAG
rnacentral:rRNA from 1 species